rnacentral:snoRNA from 2 species
CCCCUCUCAGGAUCACAUCUGGAGAGUUUCCAGUCCUCUACCAGUCUCUACUCUGGGAGGGAGAGUCAAGCAGAGGUCUGUCCAUUCCAUUCUUAGCUUGGGCAGUGGCUGGUGAGUGGAAGGCAAUCUGCUACAAGU